UACAGAGGUGGCAAGCGUUGUUCGGAAUUACUGGGCGUAAAGGGCGCGUAGGCGGUCCGAUAAGUCCUGUGUGAAAUCCCUCGGCUCAACUGAGGAACUGCACGGGAGACUGUCGGGCUUGAGUUCGGGAGAGGGAAGCGGAAUUCCGGGUGUAGCGGUGAAAUGCGUAGAUAUCGAGAGGAACACCUGAGGUGAAGACGGGUUGCUGGGCCGACACUGACGCUGACGUGCGAAAGCCAGGGGAGCGAACGGG
rnacentral:rRNA from 1 species